rnacentral:tRNA from 1 species
GGGCUUGUAGCUCAGGUGGUUAGAGCGCACGCCUGAUAAGCGUGAGGUCGGUGGUUCAAGUCCACCCAGGCCCACAA